rnacentral:rRNA from 1 species
GAUGAACGCUGGCGGCGUGCCUAACACAUGCAAGUCGAACGGAGAUUACGGACGGAAGUUUUCGGAUGGAAGACUGUAAUUCUUAGCGGCGGACGGGUGAGUAACGCGUGGGCAACCUGCCCUAUACAGGGGGAUAGCAGCUGGAAACGGCUGGUAAGACCGCAUAAGUCGGCGAGACCGCAUGGUUUUGCCGGGAAAUGAGCAAUCAGGUAUAGGAUGGGCCCGCGUCCGAUUAGCCAGUUGGCAGGGUAAAAGCCUACCAAAGCAACGAUCGGUAGCCGGACUGAGAGGUCGGACGGCCACACUGGGACUGAGACACGGCCCAAACUCCUACGGGAGGCAGCAGUGGGGGAUAUUGCACAAUGGAGGAAACUCUGAUGCAGCGACGCCGCGUGAGUGAAGAAGUAUUUCGGUAUGUAAAGCUCUAUCAGCAGGGAAGAUGAUGACGGUACCUGACUAAGAAGCCCCGGCUAACUACGUG